rnacentral:tRNA from 1 species
GUCUUCGUGGUGUAGUGGUCAGCACGCUCGACGCGUAUUCGAGAGGUCCGUGGUUCGAGUCCCGGCCAGGGCA